rnacentral:tRNA from 1 species
AUUUUCGUGGUGUAGUGGUCAGCACGCUUGACGCGUAUUCGAGAGGUCCGUGGUUCGAAUCGCGGCGAGGGUA